CUUUUUUGCCUCUUAUAUUGUAUUUUAUUGCAUUGCAAUCUAAAAUCUGUAGCAUGCAACUUGCAAUGCAAUAGAAUACAAUAUAAGAAAUAAAAGAA